rnacentral:lncRNA from 1 species
AUACAAUCAAUUGUCAACAGUUAUAAUCAGCCUCAUUAAUGCCUUGACCAUGAAAUAACUUCAGCCCAAAGUCACUUGAGUUAAUAUUUAAUUGGUGGAUGUUCGGUUAAUGUAGACCAGCACCUGAAUAAGUAUUCAGAAAUCUACUUCCUGGAAUUCUUAAACAAAUAUUUCACCAAGGAAACUCUGAUGUAAGGCCUUACCCAUCUGAGACAUGUCAACACUGAUCUGAAAGCUAAAACAUGGCUGGAAAGAGGCAGAAUGUGUAGAUUAACAAUACUGCAGCAUUUGAGGAAGAAAGCAGGUGCUGGAGUCAUCCUAUACCUUAAGAUGGCUUAUGGAAACUCA